rnacentral:snoRNA from 1 species
CCCCUUUUUAAAGCACCCAGUGUGGGCCUUUGACUGAUGACUUGCUGAGCCAUUUAGAGAGGGCAGGGGACAGACACCUUUGGGGUAAAUGGCAGCGUGUCGUGUUGUCCUGCUUCACUCAGUGGUAUGGCAGGU